GUAGAGCAGAAGUGAGCUAGUGAGCCCAGGUCUCCAUGCCAAGCCUCCCGCAAGGCGAACACUGACACCAUCACCUCUCUCCCCACAGGCUCAGAGCUUGAGAUCUCAAGAUGGGAGAGUAAGAGAAGCGCAACAGGGCCAUCACGGCCCGGAGACAGCACCUGAAGAGUGUGAUGCUCCAGAUCGCGGCCACAGAGCUGGAAAAAGAGGAAAGCCGCCGCGAAUCCGAGAAGCAGAACUACCUGUCAGAACACUGCCCGCCUCUGCACAUCCCAGGCUCCAUGUCUGAAGUGCAGGAACUCUGCAAACAACUGCAUGCGAAGAUCGAUGCGGCUGAAGAGGAGAAAUAUGACAUGGAGGUGAAGGUGCAGAAGAGCAGCAAGGAGCUGGAAGACAUGAACCAGAAGCUAUUUGACCUGAGGGGCAAGUUCAAGAGGCCCCCACUCCGGAGGGUGCGUAUGUCAGCUGACGCCAUGCUGAAGGCGCUGCUGGGCUCUAAGCACAAGGUGUGCAUGGACCUGAGAGCCAACCUGAAGCAGGUCAAGAAGGAAGACACUGAGAAGGAGCGGGACCUGCGUGACGUGGGUGACUGGAGGAAGAAUAUUGAGGAGAAGUCUGGCAUGGAGGGUCGGAAGAAGAUGUUUGAGUCUGAGUCCUAACUGCCUACUUCCCCAGUCCCACCCUACCAUUGGGGAAGCACCUAACAUCCAGUCUGGAGUACUUGGCCUCACUCCAAUAAAGGAUUCGCAUCCCUUCC
rnacentral:lncRNA from 1 species